GAUGAACGCUGGCGGCGUGCCUAAUACAUGCAAGUCGAGCGAACAGAUGAGGAGCUUGCUCCUCUGACGUUAGCGGCGGACGGGUGAGUAACACGUGGAUAACCUACCUAUAAGACUGGGAUAACUUCGGGAAACCGGAGCUAAUACCGGAUAAUAUAUUGAACCGCAUGGUUCAAUAGUGAAAGACGGUUUUGCUGCCACUUAUAGAUGGAUCCGCGCCGCAUUAGCUAGUUGGUAAGGUAACGGCUUACCAAGGCAACGAUGCGUAGCCGACCUGAGAGGGUGAUCGGCCACACUGGAACUGAGACACGGUCCAGACUCCUACGGGAGGCAGCAGUAGGGAAUCUUCCGCAAUGGGCGAAAGCCUGACGGAGCAACGCCGCGUGAGUGAUGAAGGUCUUCGGAUCGUAAAACUCUGUUAUUAGGGAAGAACAAAUGUGCAAGUAACUAUGCACGUCUUGACGGUACCUAAUCAGAAAGCCACGGCUAACUACGUG
rnacentral:rRNA from 1 species